GGAUCUGAAGGCCUGGCUAUGACAUCUCACCACACUGAUUGACAGUGAUUUGGCUGACUUGGCUAGGUAGGCAGGCGUCCCCUUCCCUCAUUGUUUCAUGAGUCCUUAAAGGUUCAUACCUGAUAGAUGAAGACAGACAGCCCUGACAUGAGAGGACCAUUCCAAUUAAGGGUAUGAGUAGCUGUGCUCUCCUGUCAGAACUUCCACAUAGCUCUCAAGAAUGAACCCUACUUCAUACUGUAGACUUCCACUAAUAGUAGUUUAUUAGUAUUUUAAAUCUUAUAUCACCAGACUGUCU
rfam:Rattus norvegicus chromosome 18, whole genome shotgun sequence.